CAUCUCUCAUCACCCUUCCUUUCCUCAUUAAUUCUGCACCUCCAUCUCUAACCCAAAAUUCCAAAUUCCUUGCUAGGGUUCUCGUGGACGCCCUUGUCGACAAGAAUUGGGACCCUGACGAACAAAUGUGCAUCGGUCGAAAUAAUCGGGACCUCGACGAGAGCGCAUCCGUGCAUAGAACUCUUGGUUGCCUUCAAGAAUUUGAUGGAGGUGGUAUUAGGACAGAUGAUACAUCAUCCAUUUCUGAUUAAACUGAAAAGCUCCAACUAUCUUCCAUGGCGAGCGUUGUUUGCUCCUAUUUUCCGGCGAUACAAACUUCUCGGUGUGAUUGAAGGAACUGAGAUCUGUCCACCGCCUCUCUUGGCUGAUCGCUCGCUGAAUCCUGCUUUUGAAGAAUGGUAUGAAAAAGAUCAAAAUCUGCUGAUCUGGUUGAAUUCCACACUUUCUGAAGAGAUCAUUCCGUUCACGAUUGGCGUUUCAUCCUCUCGCGAGCUUUGGGUGAAGCUUGAACAACGUUUUGGUGGUGUUUCAGAGGCUAAUAUUCAUCAAUUGCGCUCACGCCUUCAAUCGGUUCAGAAAGGCUCCAAUUCUAUCUCGGGAUAUCUCCAGCAAAUCAAGGAAAUUGUAGAUUCAUUACAUGCUGCAGGUGCUUCCGUCUCCGAUCGUGAUCUAAUUGCUGCUACUUUACAUGGUUUGCCUGAUGAGUUUGAGUCCUUCAUUGAUUCUAUCAUGCUUCGUUUGUCUUCGACGUCUCUGGAUGAACUUCACGGUCUUUUACUUACCAAUGAGCUUUCUAUGGCUCGACGGAAGACAGUCUCUUCAGCAUCUGUGGUUGAACCAUUUCAGGCUUUCUCUGUGCAAUCUCAGCCUCCUCUGCUUCCUACUCCCUCGGCAUUUGCUGCUCAGUCUUCCCCACUUUAAUCUGCCUCUCGGUACAACUCAAAUCGUGGCAAGCCUCUUAGGGGUCAAUUCAUUUCUAAUCGAGGUAAUCGCAAUCAUCGUGGUACUUUUAAUCCUAAUCGUGGUAAUCGGAUUUAUCAAGGCUUGCGCAAUCAUCAAGGUUCUUCAACCUUCAAAGUACCCUGUCAAAUUUGUGGAUCUACCAGUCAUGAGGCCAUUGACUGUUUUGAUCGCAUGAACCCCGAGAUCUGUGGUCGUAUUCCUCCAGCUAAACUUGCUGCCAUGUGUGUACAUCAUUCUGCUAAACCAUCUCAGCCUUGGUUAAUUGAUUCUGGAGCUACAUCCCACAUCACCAAUGAUAUUGCUAACAUCUCUUCUCCUACUCCCUACACUGGAGAGGACAAAGUGUAUAUUGGAAAUGGUAAAGGUUUAUCCAUUCAUAAUGUUGGUUCUUCCUCUCUGUACACCCCUCAUCAUUCUUUUAAGCUGCAGAAUGUCCUUCAUGUUCCUUCCAUGGUACAUAAUCUUUUAUAUGCUUCUAAAUUUCUUGAGGAUAAUGAUUGUGUAUUAACUCUUGACCCUUAUGGAUCCACUGUCAAGGAUCGUAUUUCGGGGAGGAUGCUUUUGCGGGGACCGGUUAGAGAUGGUUUCUAUCCACUGCAAAGUUCCAGUACCUCUUCUCCUUCUUUACAUUCUGCCUUUCUCAGUGUUAAAGCUCCUGUCAAAGUGUGGCAUCAACGCUUAGGUCAUCCAUCUUCUUCAAUAUUUCGCAGGGUCUUCUCUACUAAUAAGCUUGCAGUGAAUGGUAAAUCUUCGGUUGACUUCUUCUGUUCAGACUGUGCUCUAGCUAAGAACCACAAGCUUCCUUUUGGAGUGGCUUCUUCAACUACAACUCGUAGCCUUCAACUGUUGCACUGUGAUUUGUGGGGACCUGCUUCUGUUAAAUAGUAGUGGCUUCCAGUACUACUUACUUCUGGUUGAUGAUUUUAGUAAAUAUAGCUGGUUUUUCCCUUUGAAAGCCAAGUCUGAUGUAUUUUCUACAUUUGUUGUUUUCAAAAACUAUGUAGAAAAUUUACUUGGAAAUAAAAUACAAACUUUGCGUUCAGAUUCAGGGGGUGAGUUCACUGGUCACUCUUUUGCUUCCUUUCUUCGAACACAUGGUAUCCUUCAUCAAUUUAGCUGUCCGCAUACUCCUGAACAAAAUGGAUGUGCCGAGAGGAAGCACAUGCAUCUUGUUGAAACAGCUCGUACUUUACUUGUUGCUUCUCAUGUACCUCAUGUGUUUUGGGUAGAAGCCUUCUCGACUGCCAUAUACCUUAUCAAUCGCCUGCCCAUCUCUGGUCUUACAAUAUCUCUUUGGGAGAUUUUAUUUCAUCAGCCGCCGGAUUAUUCCAAACUCAAAAUAUUUGGCUGUCAAUGCUUCCCAUGGCUCAAACCUUAUGUGCAUAGUAAACUGGAUGCUAAGAGCAAAAACUGUAUAUUUUUGUGCUACAGUCUUCAACACAAAGGCUAUCGCUGUUUUGAUCAUAUUGACAACCGAGUCUACAUCUCUAGACAUGUAAUUUUUCAUGAAGACGCAUAUCCUUUUCAGUCCCUGCCUCUUCAUUACUCUCGGUCAGUCAAUGCUGCUCCAGUUUCUUCUUCUUCCAUGGACAUUUACUUUAGCAAGUUUACUCAACCUGCUAUUCCAGGUGCUGCUACUUCAUCUUCCUCUAGCCCGAGGUCUCUUUCAUCACCAGGUGCUUCUCAUCCUGACUCUAUGCUUGAUCGUUCUGAUGUAUCACCACCUGCAUCUCUGCCUGCACGUCCUGAUGUAUCACCACCUGCGCCAAGCUCUCUUCCCAUUUCUGUUAAUGUUCAUCCUAUGGUUACCAGAUCUAAGGUAGGAAUUUACAAACCUAAGGCUUAUGCAGCAACUAAACAUCCACUCCCAGUUCCUCUUGAUUUUGUUCCAAGCACCUAUUUACAAGCAUCUAAGUAUGCUCACUGGAGGGCUGCUAUGCAGGAUGAAUAUAAUGCAUUACUUUCUACAGGAACUUGGUCUUUAGUUCCUUCUCAUUCCACUCAAAAUGUCGUCGGCUGCAAGUGGGUGUUUCAUGUCAAGACAAAAGCUGAUGGUACUGUCGAUCGAUACAAAGCCCGGCUAGUGGCCAAGGGCUUUCAUCAGCAAGAGGGAAUUGAUUUCCAAGAAACUUUUAGUCCGGUUGCUAAACCGGUUACCAUUCGAAUUCUGCUUACUCUUGCUGUUCAACACAAUUGGUUCUUAAAUCAAUUAGAUAUUAGCAACGCCUUUCUUCAUGGUGACUUAAAAGAGGUUGUUUACAUGCAACAACCCCCUGGUUUCAUUUAUCUUCUCUUUCCCGAUCAUGUAUGCAAGCUCAGAAAAUCUUUGUAUGGCCUCAAACAAGCGCCUCGCGCUUGGUUUGAUAAACUGUUUCAAGCAUUACAUGCUCUUGGUUUCACCCAAUCCUCCUCUGAUGCAUCUUUAUUUGUAUUGAAUGGUCCUCAGUUGGUUAUAGUUCUUGUGUAUGUGGAUGACAUUCUUGUCACUGGGCCUAACUCCACUCUCUGUCAUCAGUUUAUUCAGCAGCUAAGUGACAGCUUUCCAGUGAAGGAUAUUGGUCCUUUACACUACUUUUUGGGGUUGGAAGUUCAGAGGUCUUCCCACGGGAUCUUUCUUCAUCAAACAAAAUAUUUACUUGAUCUUCUCCAGCGGACAAAUAUGGAGGGUGCAAAGCCUUGCUGCACACCUCUUGGCUCUAAAAAACUGGAUCACAGUGGGUCUCUUCUCUCCAAUUCGACUGAAUAUCGGUCUCUUGUUGGAGGUCUUCAAUACUUCACCUGGACUAGACCGGACAUUGCUUUUGUUGUUAAUCAGUUAUGUCAAUUCACGCAUGCUCCGCGUGAUCAACACUUUCAGGCCGCUAAAAGAGUCCUUCGUUUUCUCAAAGGUUCUUUUUCCCAAGGACUGUGGUUUACCAAAGGUUCUGUUGAUCUCUCUGCCUAUUCAGAUGCUGAUUGGGCUGGCUGCACGUUUGAUCGGCGGUCGACUACUGGUUAUUGUGUUUUUCUUGGCUCUAAUCUCAUCAGCUGGAGUGCCAAGAAACAAAGCACUGUUGCUCGUUCUUCUACAGAAGCAGAAUAUCGGUCUAUGGCUCACACAGCUGCAGAACUCACUUGGGUCUGCAAAAUUCUUCGUGACCUUCACUGUUCUAUUCCUAAACUGCCUACUCUGUGGUGUGAUAACAUCUCCGCCAUUUCCUUAGCUUCAAAUCCUGUAUUCCAUGCUCGCACAAAGCAUGUCGAGAUUGACUACCACUACAUUAGAGAACUGGUUUUAGCUCAUCUGCUUAAAGUGCAGUUUGUUUGCAGUGCAGAUCAAUUGGCUGAUCUACACACCAAGUCCUUGUCCAAAACCAGAUUCCGCUACUUGUGUUCCAAGCUUCCUCUUGGCAUCAAUUCUGAUUCCUCCUCUCGCUUGAGGGGGUGUAUUAGGACAGAUGAUACAUCAUCCAUUUCUGUUAAUGAUAAAUAGUUUGGAAAAACAAAAUGUAGUUAGUUUUGUUAUUAGUUGUGGUUAGUUAGGAUUGUAAAAGUUCAGUUAAGGAAGCUAAGGGUAUAAAUGUAAAGAGCCAAAAGGCUAUAUAUAUGUACAUCCAUGUAAUUGUUUAUUCAGUCAAGAAAAUACAAUCUUACAGAAGAAGAUUUGUUUCUCUUUAGGUGGAGUGCAGAAGUCUCACACCGCCAUCACGGUAGAACCUCGAUGUAGUUGUUGCCUGAUUUGGACCUGCCAGCCUGAUUCGCAACUCGAAGGAAAACUCAAAUCUGAACCCAGUUCCAUCUGCUGCCUGACCAACCUAGAUUUGAACCCGCUGCUAACUCAUCUAUCAGAGACCUACUUGUUAUGCGAAUUGAAGAAAGUCUUCCUUGUGUGAGUAAUUUAUUGCAAAUUUUGGGUUAGAGAUGGAGGUGUAGAAUUAAUGGGGGAAGGGUUGGGUGAUGGGAGAUGGAAGAAUGAGUGGGCUCGGGUGGAGAAGAUGAAGAUUGGGAUUUUUG
rnacentral:lncRNA from 1 species